AUGAAUGCUGGCGGCGCGCCUAACACAUGCAAGUCGAGCGGUAACAUGCUUCUCACCUUGGUUCGAAAUUUAUUUUGGAGCUGAAGUGAGAAGUGAUGACGAGCGGCGGACGGCUGAGUAACGCGUGGGAACGUACCCCAAAGUGAGGAAUAACUGCCCGAAAGGGUGGCUAAUGCCGCAUGUGAUCUUCGGAUUAAAGGAUUUAUCCGCUUUGGGAACGGCCUGCGUAUGAUUAGAUAGUUGGUGAGGUAAAGGCUCACCAAGUCUACGAUCAUUAACUGGUCUGAGAGGAUGACCAGUCAGACUGGAACUGAGACACGGUCCAGACUCCUACGGGAGGCAGCAGUGAGGAAUCUUCCACAAUGGGCGAAAGCCUGAUGGAGCGACGCCGCGUGCAGGAUGAAGGCCUUCGGGUUGUAAACUGCUUUUAAAAGUGAAGAAUAUGACGGUAGCUUUUGAAUAAGCACCGGCUAACUACGU
rnacentral:rRNA from 1 species